rnacentral:rRNA from 1 species
AUUGAACGCUGGCGGCAUGCCUUACACAUGCAAGUCGAACGGCAGCACGGGAGCAAUCCCGGUGGCGAGUGGCGAACGGGUGAGUAAUAUAUCGGAACGUGCCCAGUAGUGGGGGAUAGCCCGGCGAAAGCCGGAUUAAUACCGCAUACGACCUAAGGGUGAAAGCGGGGGACCGUAAGGCCUCGCGCUAUUGGAGCGGCCGAUAUCAGAUUAGGUAGUUGGUAGGGUAAAAGCCUACCAAGCCAUCGAUCUGUAGCUGGUCUGAGAGGACGACCAGCCACACUGGGACUGAGACACGGCCCAGACUCCUACGGGAGGCAGCAGUGGGGAAUUUUGGACAAUGGGCGAAAGCCUGAUCCAGCCAUGCCGCGUGCAGGAAGAAGGCCUUCGGGUUGUAAACUGCUUUUGUCGGGGAAGAAACGCUCUGGGCUAAUACCCUGGGGUAAUGACGGUACCUGAAGAAUAAGCACCGGCUAACUACGUGCCAGCAGCCGCAGUAA